GACGAACCGUGCGAACGUUGUUCGGAAUCACUGGGCUUAAAGGGCGCGUAGGCGGGCGAACGAGUCGGAGGUGAAAUCCCACGGCCCAACCGUGGAAGUGCCCCCGAUACUGCUCGUCUGGAGGGAGAUAGGGGCGUGCGGAACUUCCGGUGGAGCGGUGAAAUUCGUAGAUAUCGGGAGGAACACCAGUGGCGAAGGCGGCGAUCUGGGGAGAUACUGACGCUGAGGUGCGAAAGCGUGGGGAGCAAACAGG
rnacentral:rRNA from 1 species